AUACGAAAGGUGCAAGCGUUGUUGGGAUUUACUGGGCGUAAAGAGAGUGUAGGUUGUUUAUUAAGUCGGAUGUGAAAUCCCGGGGCUCAACCUCGGAACUGCAUUCGAUACUGGUAGACUAGAGUUCGGGAGGGGUAAGCGGAAUUCCGUGUGUAGCAGUGAAAUGCGUAGAUAUACGGAGGAACACCUGAGGCGAAGGCGGCUUACUGGACCGAUACUGACACUGAGACUCGAAAGCGUGGGUAGCAAACAGGAUUAGAAACCCUAGUAGUCC
rnacentral:rRNA from 1 species